rnacentral:lncRNA from 1 species
UAAAAUCUAGAAUGUGUGCCCCUAAAUAUACCGAGAAUUAUUUAAAACUAUAUUGUAUUUUCCGAUCCUGGCCAAGUUACAUGAACGUUCAUUGGACACACGCAGGAAUCAGAGAUGGAUACCCUAGCUCAACACUCCUAGAAGACCAUGGAAGCAACUCUGGCUACAGAUGGAUAAAUGGAGGGCAACUCUGUGUCUAGCUGGCUGCCUACACGACCUCUCUAGAUCUUCUCCCGUCUGUUGAGCUAGAUGCUCUUAAGGUCGUAUCUGGUGCCCAC